CACCACAGUGCAACGUCGUGUCGCCCAAAUAACCUUUAAAAUCACAUUUUUUAACACAAUUUUUGACUUUUAGUGGCUUUUAAAGUAUUAAAACAGUAUUCUGUUAUGUUUUUGUCAAGGAUUACAGUUUUUUUUCGUAUCACUUUCUUUGUUUGACGCCAUAUUGGAUCCGCGAGAUAAUACUAAGCAGAGCUGAUGUUCCAAGUACUAAAUACUAAAUGGAGUAAAGCUGAAAUACUGGGAUCUUCAAUUUACCACAAUCUGAAAAUGAAGUCGGUUGAAUAAGGUUGCCGCACAAAGCUGCUCAUAUGAAUUUGAAAAUGUUCAUGGAGAUGGAAGAAAUUUCGUUUUUUACAGGUGCUGCCAGCUGUCAACUGCGAAUGCGGCGGACAUAUUGGAAUUUAAAGGGCAACUUCACACUUUCAACUCUUUUAAUGUUGUGGGUGUCUAUGGAUAGCUAUAAUCGCUACCUUCCAGGCAAUCUAUCAUCUAGUUUGUAUCAUCUAGUUUGAAAAAUAAGGAAACUAUUGAACAAUGUCUUCCUAGCCGAAUCGGCUACGGCGGCUGUUCUCAUAUAAGGAGAUCAGCCAGCUGCGCAGGACAUACUACAGUGCACGCACAUUUGCUUGGACACAGCUGCACUCAUAAUUCCUUCACUCUCAUAGCGCUAUGGGACGACAAUCCGACACCACCGGAGAGAGAUCACAAGCAGGACCGACAUUAACUAUUAUGAUGGUGAUUAGAAUGACUACAUUCAGUAAGAAGGUUUGGUAAGGUUUUCGUAAGUAUACUCAAUUCUUUUUGCGCGCUUACCAGUACCUAAAUAGCUAGAUUAUUGAAAGGGCUCCUGGCUGAGUAACAACCGCACGGGUCGAUCGAUCAUAAGGUUAAGCAACGCUUGGUGCGGUCACUCCAUGGAUAACCAUCUUGUCAUGACGAGUUCCUCCGUGUUUCGGAAGGCACGUUAAAUUGGUGGGUCCCGGCUGUCAUUUGAACAUCUUUGGCAGUCGUUACGGGGAGUCAGGAGCCAGCAAGUCUGAGAACCAGUUUUGCUUAGGGGUUGCUCGAGUAACUGGGUUGAGGAGAUCAGAUAGGCAGUCGCUCCUUGUGGCACUCUGGUACUCAGCUGCAUUCGAUUAGACUGGAAGCAGACUCCAACGUUGGGAAAAGGCUGUAACACUUACCACAAAGAGUGUGUUAUAAAUGAAGAUGGAUGGAGAGGAAGACCAAAGAAAUGAUGGAUGGAUGGGCUGAAAGAUGACAUGAAUAUGAAUUGAGAUGUUAGUAUGACUCAAGUCCACUAACUUGUAAGUUAACAUUAUUAUCAUGUAGGAAUCUGAAUCUAUGGAUAACAACCAUAUUUCAUGAAUAUAAUCAUGUUUUAUCUCAUGAAAACGUGUGUGCCAUACUUGUAAGUCUUGUAUUUUUCGUCACAUAACACACCCAUUUUUUUUUAAACGGAAGCGUUCGAUUAAAAAUCAAUUUUUAUUUUUAUAUGUACAGGGUAACUCAAAGUUAUUAAAUUUUGUUACAGAGUGGUAACUUUUGCGAUAUGCUGAAUUUAGUAGCAUUUAAUUCAAUCACUUAUUUCUCCAUUUUACAGCGUUUUCACAUUAGCAAAUUUUUCCACCCGGUUUUUUUACGUACAACACAUUCGGAGAAUAAAAAAAACUUAAAUCUCAUUAUUUUAUUUUAUUGAUUUUUGUCCUUGCGAUUAAAAAGGCUAGUGUGAAUUCGUUGCUAUAGUUUUUUGUACUUUUCUGUUUAUACUUACAUAGAGUGCACAUGGCUAGUUUUUAUUUUUAUUCUUUUACUUAAUUUUCCGGGUUGCUCAUGACUUCUUGCACAUAUGAUCAUCACUUUCUUAAAACAACAAGAGCUCAAGUUCACCGGCAAUCUAACCAUCACUUUUCUUACAAAAAGUUAAUAAUUUCUUAAUUAUUAUACCUACUCAGAUAAAAUGCACCUAAACUUCUUUAGAUUAGCUAAUUCCAUCUCCAUUUAACGGACUUCCCAUGGGAACUACUUCAUGUACCAAGAUACCAUAAUAAAAGACACAAAAAAAAACUUUUGUUGGUAAAAACAAACAAAAUGACUUCUCAAAAUCAUCCUUUGUUUUAAUCUUAGAUGGAUGAUUAUUUAAAUGGUAGUGAAGACUUUCAAUAAUUCCUGUUGUUCUAGAAGUCUAUUCAUCACAUAUAAAAUUCUUAUAAUAUUUGAACAGUAAGUAGCCGCACCUACAUAAAAACUUUUUACUCCCCUAACCUAACCAUAGUUAUGUGUGCUCUAUCUUUUUGUUUUUUUUUUUUGUACUUUUAGCUCUAUGGCCCCCUCAACUGGAACCCGUAGAUCCGAACUUGUGCGUCUUUGCGUUGGGGAGACGCAACUGCGCGACUUUUUUGUCGCACGCAGACGCGACUUUUUGUCGUCCGUUAUGAGUUGGUCAUAUUUGCGACUCUACUUAUUUUUCAAUGUUGAUGGUGAAAAUUGACCAUUAUUUUCGUGUUUUUUUUUUUUUCAUUUAAUUGUGAAAAAUUAUGUAUUUUUUGAGUUUUUAAAUAACGAGCAAUAUUUUUUGACACAAUUUCUGAAGUACAUCGUUUACUUUGCGAUGUUUAAGACGACUGUUAGUCGCAGUUCUGUAGUGCGACACUAAAAGUCGUGAGUGUGUGCGUCCCCCACACAAGUUUGGUGAUACGUGGGCGCAGUUUUGGCGGGAUUUCGUCGCUCUCCGCCAUUUUGAUUUUCUUCAUUUUUUUUUCUUUUUAUUUUAUUUUGUAGUUUUAUUUUCUAUUCGAAAUGAAAAUAAAAAGACAUUACAUUGCAAUCGUAAUAAUUCACUUUUUAAUGCUUUUAAUGCGGUCAAUAUAUUUUUUGAGUUUACAAAAAGUCAUUUUGGAUAAUGUCAUUUCUAUUUUCAUUUUGAAUAACAUAGAGAAUUAUUGGUAUGUUUUUAAAAUUCCUUGCACUUUUCAUUUUUUUUUUAUUCUUGUACACAUUUUUGAUAAUGAAUAACAGAGAUGAAACGAAUAUUUGUAGAUAUAGAACUGCAUAAGUGGGGGAAUAUUUUGUUUUUGAUAGAUGAAAGAUAAAAAAGGAUGGAAUUUCGCUUUUAUAGAUGAAAGUAAAAUUAUCGAGGAGAUCUUGCUUCACCUGGAUAAAAGUAGUCUAUGUUAUUUUUGUAUAUUUCAGUUUUGUAGUAUUGACGUAAAAUGUGACAGUCAAACACAGUUAUUUAUAAGAGUUAUUUAAUAUAUUUACUGUUACUAAAUAAAAUACUCGCUUCAUCUCAAUCCAGUAAUAUUUAGGUAGUUUUGUAAAGCACAUUUCUAUUAUUAAAGAAGUUAAUUCCUUGUUAUUAGAGUUAUUUCUUUUACGUACCUACGAAGCCGUAUGUUAGAUGCACUUGACAUCUUGUCUGGUAAUUUAUUUUUGUACUUUAAGAAUGCAAGUUUCCUUAGUUUUUAAAAUGUAAUGGCUGUUUAGUCGAUAUUAUCUAUCUCGUUAUUAUUUUCAUUUUAUAUAGUGCUAUAUACUGUUGUGUGUAUAUAGAUACCUAUGUGUAUUGUCCUAUUGUAUACUAGUGAACCUACCGUCAGUUGCACAAAGCUCCAUUAAAGUUAAAGCUACAUUAAAUAUAUUGCUGAGACUUUAUCUUGUUGACAAAGAAAGAGCCAUUGUCGUCUCGUAGUCUCAUGGCGAGACUGCUGUUCACGGGGUUCGAUUCCUGGAUCAAAAUUGCGUUGAGAAUUUUAAAACACUUUCACAAAGCAGUAGUCUGGAAAUUGGUGAUUGAUAAACCCGAGCAUCGGAGACAAAGACUCUAUAGUCUUUCUCUCUGACUCUAUAGUAUAGUCUAUAGUCGAUCUAUAUCGGAGAGCAUGUUAAUGUUAGUUUUAAUUAUUAGUAUAUUUUAUUUUAAUUUAUUCUCAUGCUGUUGAACAUUAGUCGUGUCUUAAGCCUUAAUACUAAGCAAGUAUAUAUGUCUAGAUGCAUGGUAAUUAUCGCCAUAAGUACCUACCUCUUCAUCUCAAAUAAAUUAUGCUAAUGCUUGCAUGUUAUUUUCUAAACAAAUCUGUAUUCUCAAUUUACUAGACGUAAGUAACUAUGUACAUAUAUUUGUAAUUAAAGGAUUUACAACCAAAUGUCUCAAUUCUACAUAGCUAUUAAGUUUACUAUUCUAUGUUAAUCUUAUAGUAAGACAUAUAAAUGUUACGGAAAAGUAUAUAUAUAUCAAUUUAAUUUAAUAGUCUAUUCUUCUUCUAUUGUGAUUAAUACCAAUUUACCAAUCAACGUCUUAAUAGUUAUAUAUUCAACGACAGAACAAAACAAGCUACUGCUUCCUAUAAUAUGUUUUUAGUUAGAAGAUAUUUUUAAUUAUUUUUCCCUCUAACGUCACUCUAGGUACACCGCCCCACGCAAGUUUGACAGCAAGAAAACGCGCCAUAGACUGGUUGAGGUAGUAGGUUGUAUAGUACUGAAUUACAACUUAUGGGAGAGACUGUACGGCCUACUAACUUUCCUGGUCUAUGGGCUAUUCUUCGAAAAUGGCGCGAACUUGAAGCAAUGACAACGACACUCGGAAUUUUAAUUUUAAGUAGAUUAUAAAAAAACUGUUGUGUAAAUAACUUAUUCUAUUAUAUUAUGAUAGAAUUGAUUAGAUGUGUAAGAAAAUAAUAAGUUAAAAUAUGUAGGUAUGUAUGUAUUCAACUUUUAGUGAGUACUACCUUUUAAAAUUAUGACGCAAGUAUUUCACUUAAACGUUCCUUAAGUUUAGGUCUUAGUUAAGUCUUUCUUUCGCAAUUAUAAUAAACUAUUUUGUUUCAAAACAAGAUUUCAUUUCAGAACUAUGUAAGCACAUGUUUAAAAUAACAUAAUUUAACUUUAAGUACCUCGACUCCUAUACUUCGUGAGGGAUGGUGAUAAUUUUACAAUUUGUCGGGUAGGUACCUACGAGAUUUUUAAAAAUUGCAUUUCCUUUACGUAUUUGCGUGUCUACGUAUGAAUUUAAAAGAUUGUCUUACAAAGUUUUCAGUGCUUUUGCGUCUUCAAUAAAAUAAAUAAUUGAUAUAUUAAUCAA
rnacentral:lncRNA from 1 species